rnacentral:rRNA from 1 species
GAUGAACGCUGGCGGCGUGCCUAAUACAUGCAAGUCGAGCGAACAGACGAGGAGCUUGCUCCUCUGACGUUAGCGGCGGACGGGUGAGUAACACGUGGAUAACCUACCUAUAAGACUGGGAUAACUUCGGGAAACCGGAGCUAAUACCGGAUAAUAUAUUGAACCGCAUGGUUCAAUAGUGAAAGACGGUUUUGCUGUCACUUAUAGAUGGAUCCGCGCCGCAUUAGCUAGUUGGUAAGGUAACGGCUUACCAAGGCGACGAUGCGUAGCCGACCUGAGAGGGUGAUCGGCCACACUGGAACUGAGACACGGUCCAGACUCCUACGGGAGGCAGCAGUAGGGAAUCUUCCGCAAUGGGCGAAAGCCUGACGGAGCAACGCCGCGUGAGUGAUGAAGGUCUUCGGAUCGUAAAACUCUGUUAUUAGGGAAGAACAAAUGUGUAAGUAACUAUGCACGUCUUGACUGUACCUAAUCAGAAAGCCACGGCUAACUACGUG